GACGAACGCUGGCGGCGUGCUUAACACAUGCAAGUCGAACGGAAAGGCCCUGCUUUUGUGGGGUGCUCGAGUGGCGAACGGGUGAGUAACACGUGAGUAUCCUGCCCUUGACUUUGGGAUAACUUCAGGAAACUGGGGCUAAUACCGGAUAGGAGCUCCUGCUGCAUGGAGGGGGUUGGAAAGUUUCGGCGGUUGGGGAUGGACUCGCGGCUUAUCAGCUUGUUGGUGGGGUAGUGGCUUACCAAGGCUUUGACGGGUAGCCGGCCUGAGAGGGUAAACAGCGCACUUGGGGCUGAGGUACGGCCCAGUCUGCUACGCGAGACAGCGGUGCAGAAUAUUGCUCAAUGGGCGCAGGCCUGAUACAACAACCCCGGGUGCCCGCUGCCGGCCUUCGGGUUGUACCCCGCUUUCGACUAUGACCAAGCGUGGGUGACGGUAAUUGAUAAAGCAGCUCCGGCUAACUACCUG
rnacentral:rRNA from 1 species